rnacentral:rRNA from 1 species
UACGGAGGAUCCAAGCGUUAUCCGGAUUCAUUGGGUUUAAAGGGUGCGUAGGCGGAAUGAUAAGUCAGUGGUGAAAUCCUGCAGCUUAACUGCAGAACUGCCAUUGAUACUGUCAAUCUUGAGUGCAUAUGAAGUGGGCGGAAUGUGUCAUGUAGCGGUGAAAUGCUUAGAUAUGACACAGAACACCGAUUGCGAAGGCAGCUCACUAAAUUGUAACUGACGCUGAGGCACGAAAGCGUGGGGAUCGAACAGG